rnacentral:rRNA from 1 species
UGCGUAGGCGGGGUAAUAAGUCAGUGGUGAAAUCCUGCAGCUUAACUGUAGAAUUGCCAUUGAUACUGUUAUUCUUGAGUUCGAUUGAGGUAGGCGGAAUGUGUAAUGUAGCGGUGAAAUGCUUAGAUAUUACACAGAACACCGAUUGCGUAGGCAGCUUACUAAGUCGACACUGACGCUGAGGCACGAAAGCGUGGGGAGCGAACAGGAUUAGAUACCCUGGUAGUCC